GAUGAACGCUAGCGGCAGGCCUAACACAUGCAAGUCGAGGGAGAAGCCCUUUCGGGGGCAGAAACCGGCGCACGGGUGCGUAACGCGUAUGCAACCUACCUUUCACAGGGGGAUAGCCCGAAGAAAUUUGGAUUAAUACCCCAUAAUAUUAUUGGAUGGCAUCAUUUGAUAAUUAAAACUGCGGUGGUGAAAGAUGGGCAUGCGUCCUAUUAGCUAGUUGGAGUGGUAACGGCACCCCAAGGCUACGAUAGGUAGGGGUCCUGAGAGGGAGAUCCCCCACACUGGUACUGAGACAGGGACCAGACUCCUACGGGAGGCAGCAGUGAGGAAUAUUGGUAAAUGGUCGGAAGACUGAACCAGCCAUGCCGCGUGCAGGAAGAAUGCCUUAUGGGUUGUAAACUGAUUUUAUAUGGGAAGAAUAAGGCGUACGUGUACGUUGAUGACGGUACCAGAUGAAUAAGCAUCGGCUAACUCCGUG
rnacentral:rRNA from 1 species